AAAUAUAAAUAUCUCAAAGACAGAAAACAGACCUAAUUUAUCGAACAUUGUUGAAACAACUUCAAAAGCAAGGGUCCAGAUAGUAGUGUUGCGAACUUGCGAUAACCAAGCAGGCUUUGAAUAGUAGCAUACAGUUUUGACUGUUUUUCAAUUAUAUUUGGCUCAAACUUGAUUCCAUCAUCCAUACUUGCAUUCAUCACCCCACGGUCAACUCCCUCUUUGAUUAAGCUUUCACCAAUACAAGCAUGAAUUAGACACUUAAAUGCAUGCACUGCAUGGAAUGUUGUUUGCUAUAGGCUUUCCCAAUAUAACUGACAAAUGCAAAGAAUUUCAAUCAGUCAGAGAAAAGCAUAUCUAACGUAUUCGGAGUGAAAUUAUAUGCAAACAAAGUUAGUAAAUAGAAGAGUUAUAGCGUGGGUGGAAUAACUGUAUGCCUUUUGAGUGCAUCAAACACAAUAGGGAGAUUAAUUUCGCAGACUCUCUGGUUGAAUGAGUAGACUUUCGCCACUCCAGCUGUAGUUUUCAGGAUGUGCAUCAUCUUAUGUUGGGUGACAGAAAGACAUAUUGAGCGUAUUAGAUCGAACAACAAUUCAGGAGAAACGUCUGCAGAUGGGUCAAGACAAAGUCUAUGCAAACCAUGAACGAUCCGCGCUGUAACAGGGAUUUGGUUCAGUUCCAAGAGAGUUUUAAAGUAGACAGGCACGGCAGUUCUGUCCUCGGUUGACAUAAGAGUAUACUUUCACAACAUCCAAAGUAUACCAGGCCUUCUCUUCUUGGGAGAGAACAGAUGCACUAGCAUUUACAUCAUGGUUCCUUAGUGGAGAAUACUCAUUCAACAAGUCAGUAAUCUUUUUGGUUUCAGGGUCAAACAGCGGUGUGCCUUGAAAACUUUGCAGUACAUCAGGAAGACACAAACAUAUAUAAUUGCAUUCUCACCUGUUCUGGAAUCAGUUAGCAUACAUUACCAAUCCCUAUCAGUAAAUUAUCACCACUUUUAGUCCUUACCUUAAAAAAAGGACCUCUUUUUAAACCAGUAAUUAGUAUACAAGUAUACGACUACUGAGUUUUGAGUUGCAUGUAAUUUGUGGGAAAUUCUACAGUACUGGGGGGUAUCCCAUACUGUGUGUUUUGUGAAUAUUUGUGACCGUUGGAUCAGUAAUAUAUCCAAGGGUCAUGGAUAUUCGAAACAAGCUGACCUAUUCAGAAGGUAUCCCGUUUCGCCGUCACUCUCAGUUCGUCACCGUGCCUCCAGCGUCGGGCCUCCGCUUCGCUGUGCCACCACGACUCUCUCUCUUUGCGCGACUCUGCCUCAGUCUCCCUCUGUUCCACCGCGCCCCUCCACUCCACUGCUCCUCCAGUCCUCUUCAGCCUCCAGCCCACGGGUUCUCUCUCUGCGGCAUGGACCCUUUCCAUCUCAGCCUCUCUCCUCGACGGCCCUUUCUAUACUCGACGGUGACGGACUAACGGUGUCGAAUGGCCUUGAAGUCUCGAACUUGGUUGCUCUCUUCCUCAAGCAGCAAAGCAGAAAGCCAGAAACUGUUGGUUACACUCUGGAUUCGGUUUCUGGGUUUUCACUUACAUUCUUGGUUUCACUCUUCAAGCUUGGUUAGUUGCUGAAAUCAAGCUUGCUUGAGGCCGUCAUCUCAAAAAGUUUUAUCGCUAGUUGCUGAGUUGAAAACACUUCAGAAGAAUAAUGAAACACUGGAGAAGGAUAAAGAACAUCAAAGGAUCAAUCUUCUUUCUGCUGAAGAGGAGGUCAAAUUGCUUUUCGAAGAAAACAAAGUGUUAGAUGAAGCUAACAAAAGAUUACUAAAGCAGUACCGCAAGGAAAGAAACAAUUCUGGUUCUGAUGGAAAGCAUACUGAUGUAUCAACGAAGUCAAACAAGUGAAAAUCUAGCUCUAAGGUGAUGAGCAGCAGCCCGAUUCAGGGGAAGAUCGAUUUCAGUGACCAAGAAUCAGCAAGACAACCUCUCUCACCCUUGGCGUUGUAACUCCCCUAACUCAAGACUGCAUAAAAAGCAAUAGGAAACUUCCGAAAUAGUCUGAUGUAUAUCUCACCUCUCAUUUGUACCUUUUUAUGUACCCAUCAUAUGGGUUGGUUGACGAUACAUUGGUCAAAAUUUAAUACCGGAAUGGUUGCAGAGGUGCUCA